rnacentral:tRNA from 1 species
CAGGGCAUAAUUUAAGUAGAAUACUAGCUUUGGGUGCUAGGUGUAGGAGUUUGAUUCUCCUUGCUCUGA